UGGAUCCAGACUUUGAUCAUGGCUCAGGACGAACGCUGGCGGCGUGCUUAACACAUGCAAGUCGAACGAGAAUCUACUGAAGGAGGAUUCGUCCAACGGAAGUAGAGGAAAGUGGCGGACGGGUGAGUAACGCGUGAGGAACCUGCCUUGAAGAGGGGGACAACAGUUGGAAACGACUGCUAAUACCGCAUGACGCAUAGGGGUCGCAUGAUCUUUAUGCCAAAGAUCUAUCGCUUCAAGAUGGCCUCGCGUCUGAUUAGCUAGUUGGCGGGGUAACGGCCCACCAAGGCGACGAUCAGUAGCCGGACUGAGAGGUUGAACGGCCACAUUGGGACUGAGAUACGGCCCAGACUCCUACGGGAGGCAGCAGUGGGGAAUAUUGGGCAAUGUGCGCAAGCCUGACCCAGCAACGCCGCGUGAAGGAAGA
rnacentral:rRNA from 1 species